AAAAGAACUUUGGAGAGAGAGUCAAACAGUACGUGAAACCGUCAGGAGGGAAACGAACGAGGUUGGUGCAGCGAUCGCGCAGGUUCAAGCCCUGCCAAAGGUGCCGACAYGGCGACAGAGAUUGUCCCGCGUCGUAUGCCGGAGGCAGUGCCGUACUCCUCGUGAUCACGGACCAACGGCGGUUGGAGCGGAGCCACAAGUCGGCAGCGGAAGGUGAGUCGAUGCGGGCWUGUCYURCGUUGACAGCUUAHAGCCUUGCUGUACGGUGYUCCGGYCUGACCGAGGAAGAUGGGCAGCCCUUGCCCACCAUGGCACACGCCGAACGGCGGGGCCUCCCGACAGGAGHCAUCCGUGCGGUGUGGACUGCACGCAGUGCUAAUCGUSACGGUGAUCUCGUGCCGGUGAGUGCCACUUGUGUGCCAGUGC
rnacentral:sRNA from 1 species